rnacentral:rRNA from 1 species
GACGAACGCUGGCGGCGUGCUUAACACAUGCAAGUCGAACGGAAAGGCCCUGCUUUUGUGGGGUGCUCGAGUGGCGAACGGGUGCGUAACACGUGAGUAACCUGCCCUUGACUUUGGGAUAACUUCAGGAAACUGGGGCUAAUACCGGAUAGGAGCUCCUGCUGCAUGGUGGGGGUUGGUAAGUUUCGGCGGUUGGGGAUGGACUCGCGGCUUAUCAGCUUGUUGGUGGGGUAGUGGCUUACCAAGGCUUUGACGGGUAGCCGGCCUGAGAGGGGGACCGGCCACAUGGGGACUGAGAUACGGCCCAGCCUCCGACGGGAGGCAGCAGUGGGGAAUAUUGCACAAUGGGCGGAAGCCUGAUGCAGCAACGCCGCGUGCGGGAUGACUGCCUUCGGGUUGUAAACCGCUUUCGCCUGUGACGAAGCGUGAGUGACGGUAAUGGGUAAAGAAGCACCGGCUAACUACGUG